AUGUGUGGUAUAUGUGUGCAUGUGCACAUGUGGGAUAUGUGUGCAUGUACAUGUGGAGCAUGCAUGUGCAUGUGUGUUAUAUGUGUGUAUUACACACGGGUGUGUAUGUGCAUGUGUGGAUCGUGUGUGCAUGUACAUGUGGGGUGUGCAUGUGCAUGUGUGGCAUGUGUAUUACAUGUGGGGCGUUCAUGGGCAUGUGUGGUAUAUGUGUGUGCAUGUACACGUUGGGUGUGCAUGUGCAUGUGUGGUUUAUAUGUGCAUGUGUUUCGUAUAUGUGUGCAUGUGCAUUAUGUGUGCAUGCACACGUGGGAUGUGCAUGUGUGCAUUACAUAUGGAGUGUAUAUAUGCAUGUGUGGUAUGUGUGUGCAUGUACAUGUGGAGCAUGCAUGUGCGUGUGUGGUGUAUGUCUGUAUUACGCGUGGGGCAUGUACGUGCAUGUGUGGUAUAUGUGUGUGCAUGUACAUGUGGGGCAUGUACGUGCAUGUGUGCUAUGUGUGUGCAUGUACAUGUAGGGUGUGCAUGUGCGGUAUAUAUGUGUAUUUAUUAUACAUGAGGUGUGUGUGUGCAUGUCUGGUAUAUGUGUGCAUGUACACAUGCGGUGUGUACAUGCAUGUGUGGAUUGUGUGUGCAUGUGUGGUAUAUGUGUGUAUUACACGUGGGGUGUGCAUGUGCAUUAUAUGUAUGCAUUACAUAUGGAGUGUAUAUAUGCAUGUGUGGUAUGUGUGUGCAUGUACACGUGGAGCAUGUAUGUGCAUGUAUGGUAUGUGUGUUUGCAUGUGCACGUGGGGCAUGUACAUGCAUUGUGGUAUAUGUGUAUAUUACAUACGUGGGGUGUGCACGGGCAUGUGUGGUAUACGUGUGCAUGUACACAUGGGGUGUGUAUGUGCCUGUGUGAUAUGUGUGUGUAUGCUUGUUUGUACAUGUGCAUGCACGCACAGAGACCAGUUCCAUUUGCACCUGAGAGAAACAUGACAUCCUUUCUGGAGAGAAAGGCACGAAAGCGAUUCUACCACUUGUGUCCCCGUUGCCGCUGAGCCCAGACCCCUCCCUGCAAACUUCUCCAGCAUCAGCAGUUAAAGGGCUGCAUCUCCAGAGCUACAAGCCCUACCGAACGGGUUUUCCCUAAACGUGCACCAACUGUGGCUGAGUCAAUGGACUGAAGGACAACAACCGUUCUGUUCUUAUUGCUGUGCGUUUACCUCCUUUAUACGUCUCGUGUGGACUUCACGUCCGACACUUUCACGCAUGUUGCAAAAAUUCACUGAAUGUUUCGGUCUGCUGCUUGGUUUUGCCCACUCUGUCGAAGAAAUCUGAGAAAGGAAGGCAGUUCUAACAACGGAGUCCCAUUGGCUUUGGAGGCGAUGCUGACUGUUACUUCACAACGUUGACAGGACCCCUGGCCACUAGCUUCUGAGUAUGUGUGACUCUAGCCGAUUAGGCGGAAACACGUUUACGGAAAGAGACUGCACAGAUCUUGAGACCUGGGGAGGGGCCGAGAACGAGGUUACAGGAGAAUGUGCCAGGGCCAACAUUGAAUAUAAACUUAUGAAUGCGUCUGGGGAAGACACUGCCAUGGUCACUUGGCAGGUCGCUGCAAAUGGACUGCCACCCCAUCCGUGACGCCCCGCCUGAGGUCGACGUUGAGACCUCGCCCCAGUGCACCUGCCAUCUUGGACACCCUCCUGCCAUCGCCACGCAUAAAAAAUGCCUGUGACUGGAGGAGGCUGUGUGACUGGUUCGGGUCCCGCUGCAAGGGAAGCUGGAAAUGUGAACUUUAAGGGUUCAUCCUGGGAGAGAUGAGACUCCUGGAGGAAGAAAUGUGCGAGACACACAAGUGGGCACCAUCCAAGUCAAGAAACCAAAGCUAUGAAUCCUCCAUAAAAAAAAAACAAACCCAACCUGUGGAUGCACUGGGCAGUGUUGUGAUGGACGAACACCUGUCCUCUGGCUGCAGAAAUCCAGGCUGACUUAU
ensembl:lncRNA